GGGGAGGGGGGGGGGGGGGCGGGCGCAUGGGAGGGGGACGGUAACGGGGAGGAGCUGGCUUCUUGGCUGACGGGUGGCGGCCGGGGGAGGAAUGGCUGGGAAACUGCCUGAGGGAGGGGGAUAACUACGGGAAACGGUAGCUAAUACCGCAUAACGUCGCAAGACCAACGAGGGGGACCUUCGGGCCUCUUGCCAUCGGAUGUGCCCAGAUGGGAUUAGCUAGUAGGUGGGGUAACGGCGAACCUAGGCGACGAUCCCUAGCUGGUCUGAGAGGAUGACCAGCCACACUGGAACUGAGACACGGUCCAGACUCCUACGGGAGGCAGCAGUGGGGAAUAUUGCACAAUGGGCGCAAGCCUGAUGCAGCCAUGCCGCGUGUAUGAAGAAGGCCUUCGGGUUGUAAAGUACUUUCAGCGGGGAGGAAGGGAGUAAAGUUAAUACCUUUACUCAUUGACGUUACCCGCAGAAGAAGCACCGGCUAACUCCGUG
rnacentral:rRNA from 1 species